GUUCGGAUUGUAGGCUGAAACUCGCCUACAUGAAGCUGGAAUUGCUAGUAAUCACAGGUCAGCAUACUGUGGUGAAUACGUUCCCGGGCCUUGUACACACCGCCCGUCACACCAUGAGAGUUGAGAAUACCCGAAGCCCAUGUCAAAGUGGUCGAAGGUAGGCUUGAUGAUUGGGGUGAAGUCGUAACAAGGUAGC
rnacentral:rRNA from 1 species